GCUGUCAUGGCGGGUGUGCUGAAGAAGACCACUGGCCUUGUGGGAUUGGCUGUGUGCAGUACUCCACACGAGAGGCUAAGAAUAUUGUACACAAAGAUUCUUGAUGUUCUUGAGGAAAUCCCUAAAAAUGCAGCAUAUAGAAAGUAUACAGAACAGAUUACAAAUGAGAAGCUGGCUAUGGUUAAAGCGGAACCAGAUGUUAAGAAAUUAGAAGACCAACUUCAAAGUGGUCAAUUAGAAGAGGUAUUCUUCAGGCUGAACAUGAACUAAUUCUGGCAAGAAAAAUGAGGGACUGGAAACCAUGGGAGCCAUUAGUGGAAGAGCCUCCUGCCGAUCAGUGGAAAUGGCCAAUAUAAUUAUUAAGUGACUUCGAUGUGUUGAUGGGAAACUGAUGUAAUUAAAUAUACUGUUAUAUUAA